rnacentral:ncRNA from 1 species
GGUGCCCGCGCGCCGAAAGGCGUGUCCCUCGGGGCACUGCGCUGCAACGGCCUGCGGGCUCCCCAUCCGACCCGUCUUGAAACACGGACCAAGGAGUCUGACAUGCGUGCGAGUCGACGGGUUUUGAAACCUGGGAUGCGCAAGACAGCUGACGAGCGGGAGGCCCUCACGGGCCGCACCGCUGGCCGACCCUGAUCUUCUG